GACCUGAUCCAGCCAUGCCGCGUGUGUGAAGAAGGCCUUUUGGUUGUAAAGCACUUUAAGCAGUGAAGAAGACUCUUCGGUUAAUACCCGGGGACGAUGACAUUAGCUGCAGAAUAAGCACCGGCUAACUCUGUGCCAGCAGCCGCGGUAAUACAGAGGGUGCAAGCGUUAAUCGGAAUUACUGGGCGUAAAGCGAGCGUAGGUGGCUUGAUAAGUCAGAUGUGAAAUCCCCGGGCUUAACCUGGGAACUGCAUCUGAAACUGUUAGGCUAGAGUAGGUGAGAGGGAAGUAGAAUUUCAGGUGUAGCGGUGAAAUGCGUAGAGAUCUGAAGGAAUACCGAUGGCGAAGGCAGCUUCCUGGCAUCAUACUGACACUGAGGCUCGAAAGCGUGGGUAGCAAACAGGAUUAGAUACCCUGGUAGUCCACGCCGUAAACGAUGUCUACUAGUCGUUGGGUCCCUUGAGGACUUAGUGACGCAGCUAACGCAAUAAGUAGACCGCCUGGGGAGUACGGCCGCAAGGUUAAAACUCAA
rnacentral:rRNA from 1 species